AUUUUAAACUAACCGGACUAUGCAUUUCCCAAACACACUAUGGCGCCAUUGGCUUCAACAGUGGUCACGUGCCUAUCAUUCUCUUUACACACACAGCGCUAGGAGGACACCCGCGGAAAAGGAACUCUCCCAGCCAAGGAUUUAUCCGUUUAAACAACCACAACUUUAUUGAAACGCCGGCGAACAACAACAACACAGGCAAUUUCGGACCGAUCAAUAUUAUGACACUACUUUGUUGAUGUGCGUGUGUCCCCGUUGCCUUCCCGUGUGUGGCGGGAAUAAUUUGAUUCAUAGUUUCUCUAGUCGUAUUUCUUCAGCUCGACGUCCUGUCGUGAGGGCUCGACUAGCGUGAGAGCAGUUACUUAUUUCUGGAGCAUACCAGUGAUGUAACAGACGUUAAUAUGGAUGAUGAUGUUAAAGAAAUGGUUUGGGAGAGUGAAAAUAACUCUACAUUUAAAGCACAUUAUAAAGAGACUGCACACAAUUCCUCUUAUGCCUUCAACUUUCAGUUUCCUGCAUUGCAAUAUAAGCAUUUUGAGAUAUCGGGAAUGAAUUCUAUUCAUAAACCAAAUUUUGUCUCAG